rnacentral:rRNA from 1 species
GGUGAACGCUGGCGGCGUAGCCUAACACAUGCAAGUCGAGCGGUGCAGUUUGAAGCUUCGGUGGAAAGCUGCAUAGCGGCGGACGGGUGAGGAAAACGUAGGAACGUGCCCCUUGGAGUUGGAUAGCCACGGGAAACUGUGGGUAAACCGACAUAGACUCGAGAGAGUAAAGGCCGAAAGGUGCCAAGGGAGCGGCCUGCGGCCCAUCAGGUAGUUGGUAGUGUAAAGGACUACCAAGCCGACGACGGGUAGCCGGUCUGAGAGGAUGGCCGGCCACAAGGGCACUGAGAGACGGGCCCUACUCCUACGGGAGGCAGCAGUGGGGGAUUUUGGACAAUGGGCGAAAGCCUGAUCCAGCGACGCCGCGUGGAGGACGAAGCCCUUCGGGGUUGUAAACUCCUUUUCUCAGGGAAAAAGGAUGAUGGUACCUGAGGAAUAAGCCCCGGCUAACUACGUG